GUGGGUGUAGCUCAGAGGUAGAGUGCUUGCUUAGUAUGCAUGAGGUCCUGGGUUCAACCCCCAGUACCUCCA
rnacentral:tRNA from 1 species